GACGAACGCUGGCGGCGUGCUUAACACAUGCAAGUCGAACGGAAAGGCCCUGCUUUUGUGGGGUGCUCGAGUGGCGAACGGGUGAGUAACACGUGAGUAACCUGCCCUUGACUUUGGGAUAACUUCAGGAAACUGGGGCUAAUACCGGAUAGGAGCUCCUGCUGCAUGGUGGGGGUUGGAAAGUUUCGGCGGUUGGGGAUGGACUCGCGGCUUAUCAGCUUGUUGGUGGGGUAGUGGCUUACCAAGGCUUUGACGGGUAGCCGGCCUGGGAGGGUGACCGGCAACUUUGGACUGGGGUACGGGCCAGGCCUCCUACGGGGGCAAGCGUUGGGGAAUAUUGCAAAAUGGGCGGAGCCUGAUGCCAGCAACGCCGCUUGGGGAAGAACGGCUUCGGGUUGUAAACCGCUUUCGCCUGUGACGAAGCGUGAGUGACGGUAAUGGGUAAAGAAGCACCGGCUAACUACGUG
rnacentral:rRNA from 1 species